rnacentral:rRNA from 1 species
UACAGAGGGUGCAAGCGUUAAUCGGAAUUACUGGGCGUAAAGGGCGCGUAGGCGGCACUGUUAGUCAGGCGUGAAAGUCCUGGGCUCAACCUGGGAACUGCGCUUGAUACGGCAGAGCUAGAGGAUGGAAGAGGCUCGCGGAAUUCCCAGUGUAGAGGUGAAAUUCGUAGAUAUUGGGAAAGAACACCGGUGGCGAAGGCGGCGAGCUGGUCCAUUACUGACGCUGAGGCGCGACAGCGGUGGGGAGCAAACAGG